CUGAAGAAUUUGAAGACCUGAACUUGAUCUUCAAGGAUUUGAAGACUUCAACUUGCAGGCUUAAAGAAUUUGAAGACUUCAACU
rnacentral:pre_miRNA from 1 species